CGCCCCGCAAGGGGAGCGGCAGACGGGUGAGUAACAUUUGCGAACGUGCCUUUAGGAUACGGAACAACCCAGGGAAACUGGGGCUAAUACCGGAUGGUUCCUACGGGAUAAAGAUUUAUCGCCAAAAGAUGAGUCCGCGUACGAUUAGCUAGUUGGUGAGGUAAUGGCUCACCAAGGCGACGAUCGUUAGCUGGUCUGAGAGGACGAUCAGCCACACUGGGACUGAGACACGGCCCAGACUCCUACUGGAGGCAGCAGUGGG
rnacentral:rRNA from 1 species